rnacentral:rRNA from 1 species
UACGGAGGGUGCGAGCGUUGUCCGGAAUUAUUGGGCGUAAAGAGCUCGUAGGCGGUUUGUCGCGUCUGCUGUGAAAACCCGAGGCUCAACCUCGGGCCUGCAGUGGGUACGGGCAGACUAGAGUGCGGUAGGGGAGAUUGGAAUUCUUGGUGUAGCGGUGAAAUGCGCAGAUAUCAGGAGGAACACCGAUGGCGAAGGCAGGUCUCUGGGCCGAUACUGACGCUGAGAAGCGAAAGCAUGGGGAGCGAACGGG